AACCACUGGGCAACUGGUGGGGAAAGUGGCGAAAGGGGCAGUAAUGUAUGGGUAACCUACCCUGGGGACCGGCAUAGCUAUCCUAACGGAUAGGUAAUACCGGGCGAUGUAGCGAGGUCGCAUGUUCUUGCUACCAGAUGAAUUUCGCCCUGGGAGGGGCUCAUAUCGUAUUAGCUUGUUGGUGAGGUAACGGCUCACCAAGGCUAAGAUGCGUAGCGGGUGUGAGAGCACGACCCGCGCCACUGGCACUGAGACACUGGCCAGACUCCUACGGGAGGCUGCAGUCGAGGAUCUUCGGCAAUGGGCGCAAGCCUGACCGAGCGACGCCGCGUGUGCGAUGAAGGCCUUCGGGUUGUAAAGCACUGUCGAGGGGGAGGAAGCUCCGCAAGGGGUUGACCUAUCCCUGGAGGAAGCACGGGCUAAGUUCGUGCCAGCAGCCGCGGUAAGACGAACCGUGCGAACGUUGUUCGGAAUCACUGGGCUUAAAGGGCGCGUAGGCGGCUGAUCAAGUCUGGGGUGAAAUCUUUCGGCUUAACCGGAAAAGUGCCUGAGAUACUGAUCAGCUGGAGGGAGAUAGGGGGGAGCUGGAACUUCCAGUGGAGCGGUGAAAUGCGUUGAUAUUGGAAGGAACUCCGGUGGCGAAAGCGAGCUCCUGGAUCUCUUCUGACGCUGAGGCGCGAAGCUAGGGGAGCAAACGGGAUUAGAUACCCCGGUAGUCCUAGCCCUAAACGAUGGGUACUAGGUUGUGGACUUGACAUGGGUUCCAG
rnacentral:rRNA from 1 species